CCUACGGGUGGCAGCAGUGGGGAAUAUUGCACAAUGGGGGAAACCCUGAUGCAGCGACGCCGCGUGAGUGAAGAAGUAAUUCGUUAUGUAAAGCUCUAUCAGCAGGGAAGAAAAUGACGGUACCUGAGUAAGAAGCCCCGGCUAACUACGUGCCAGCAGCCGCGGUAAUACGUAGGGGGCAAGCGUUAUCCGGAUUUAUUGGGUUUAAAGGGUGCGUAGGCGGGCUUUUAAGUCAGCGGUAAAAAUUCGGGGCUCAACCCCGUCCGGCCGUUGAAACUGGGGGCCUUGAGUGGGCGAGAAGAAGGCGGAAUGGGGGGUGUAGGAGUGAAAUCCGUAGAUAUCUGGAGGAACAUCAGUGGCGAAGGCGACUAUCUGGCACAUAACUGACGCUGAGGAGUGAAAGCGUGGGUAGCAAACAGGAUUAGAUACCCAGUAGUC
rnacentral:rRNA from 1 species